rnacentral:rRNA from 1 species
UUGGAGGGCAAGUCUGGUGCCAGCAGCCGCGGUAAUUCCAGCUCCAAUAGCGUAUAUUAAAGUUGUUGCAGUUAAAAAGCUCGUAGUUGAAUUUCGGGAUCAAUGUUUCGGUCAUGCCGUUGGUAUGUACUGAUAUUAUUGGUUUCUCACCUUCUAAAGAACCGUAAUGCCAUUAAUUUGGUGUCACGGGGAAUUAGGACUGUUACCUUGAAAAAAUUAGAGUGUUUAAAGCAGGCUCACGCUUGAAUACAUUAGCAUGGAAUAAUGAAAUAGGACAUCCGAUUCUAUUUUGUUGGUUUCUAGGAUCGAUGUAAUGAUUAAUAGGGAUAGUUGGGGGCAUUAGUAUUCAAUUGUCAGAGGCGAAAUUCUUGGAUUUAUUGAAGACUAACUACUGCGAAAGCAUUUGCCAAGGAUGUUUUCAUUAAUCAAGAACGAAAGUUAGGGGAUCGAAGACGAUCAGAUACCGUCGUAGUCUUAACCAUAAACUAUGCCGACUAGGGAUCGGAUGAUGUUAAUUUUUUAAUGACUCAUUCGGCACCUUACGGGAAACCAAAG